GCAGCAUGAAGAAGGCAGAAGCAUGAGAUGUAAAUGCUGACAGAGGAGAGGGGGUUUCAGGAAUCAGAGGCCAAUACCAUUCUGAGGGUAUGAAUGGGAUCCAGCAUUAAUGUCCAAAUUAAAGCUGUCCAAGGUUCAGAGGCCUGCAACUGGUUGGCUGAUUAGCUCUGCCUGCAGCACCUGAGAGAUGGAACUUAAUUACCUGACCCUUAUAAAAGAAGGCAGCAGGAAACAGAGGAGGGGGAUUGCAAUUCCCCCAGAGAGCUGAGGGGCUGUGCUCCCAAUGGUCUGCUACUGAACCGAGGAAUUGGUCCAGAAACGAAAUGAUGAGAAGGGAGACUCUAUGAAGUCCUUUAUUGCUGAGGCUCUGAGGUAAGAGAUCAGCAACCCAAAGUUUCCUAAGUUAUUGGUGAGAGGGACAGACUUGGGCAAGGGACUUCUUGGUCUGCACAGACAUUUGCAGGAAGAAAAAGAAAAUCUGAGCAGGGUACAACUGCUGAAAAUGUAUCUUUUUUUCACUAAGCCUCAAUAUAAUCCUCCUUCAUUUUAAUAAGUUCUCAGUU